GUCUGUCCAUGCAGCCCUGCUCCUGGGGGGAGAGGGAAAUGGUGGGAAUGAAGAAAGAGUCAGCUGAUGAAGAACUACUUCUUCUGAAAUCAACAUUCAAAAAGGAACCAUUGUUUCAAGGAAUAUGCUUGAGGGCACAUAGGCUUACAAGAUUCUGCAGGAGAAUUCAGUGCCCAAGAAGCCCCUGGAUCCAAGCUAUCAAAGAUCACCUUGUCUUCAAAUUACAUGAUAUUUCUUCAGGAAAUUUCUGUCAGCAUGUUUGUAUACACUAAGAGAGGUUAGUCCUUCCUCCGUAUGUUUAAUACCAGGGUACAGUUUUCUUUUUAGUCUUCACUGAGAUGAAAUUGUUUUUCUUCCUUCUGUGUGCUCCCAUAUGUAGGGUAAAUCUCAAAAGAUUAUGUCCAGAAUUGAAUUGGAAGAGAACAAGUGAGAUAAAGAUCUCUGAAAGGUCCUUCAAUUGGAACUUUAAAAUAUCCGUUAACAAAUGUGGUAAAAUACGCUGCAUCUCAGUGCAGGUAACCGUUGGUCCCAUUGCUGGCUUGGACUUCCAGGAAAGUGACAACAAUUCUAGACAUCUCCCAUUAAUCUACCAGUAAUCCAUUGUGCAGGCUUUACACAGGUGGGUAGAUCUGGGAGAAUGUAGAUGAUACAGGGCAUAUCCUCUGUCUCAUAUCCCCAUUUCCCCAGGUAAGCUUACCUGUCAUCUGGUGCUUUGUCACCUGCUCAUGUCCUCCUCUCCUCUCUGCUGUGCCCUCCUCUGCUCCCUCACCGCCAGCCUCCUCACGAGAUGGGAUGGGCAGAAAGCAGGGUCUGAUUCACAUUAUUGUGUGAUUUUAUUGAAUCUUGUUUGUAAAAUUUAAAAAUUAAAACAAAAAUUAUACAUCUG
rnacentral:lncRNA from 1 species